rnacentral:rRNA from 1 species
AUUGAACGCUGGCGGCAUGCCUAACACAUGCAAGUCGAACGAGACCUUCGGGUCUAGUGGCGCACGGGUGCGUAACGCGUGGGAAUCUGCCCUUGGGUUCGGAAUAACUCGCCGAAAGGCGUGCUAAUACCGGAUGAUGUCGUAAGACCAAAGAUUUAUCGCCCAGGGAUGAGCCCGCGUAAGAUUAGGUAGUUGGUGAGGUAAAGGCUCACCAAGCCGACGAUCUUUAGCUGGUCUGAGAGGAUGAUCAGCCACACUGGGACUGAGACACGGCCCAG